CACAUAUAUAAACUCCGGGUAAAGAAUUUUACCAUAUUUUCAACGUAAACACAGUUUCAGUCACUAUGUAACAAGUUAUCUAAAUAAGAGAUUCCGUGUACACAUGCAGAAGCUCCAUCCAUCUCCAUCAAGGCAACAGUUUUUCUGAAUUCCAGGACAUGGUAGGCAAAGCCUAUUUGAGUUCCGUCGUAUCUACAUGUUUAACACACGCAAAUACUUAUCAUCAUUUCCUUCUCUGAGGAUCCCGACUAAGACCAUGUUUCCUCAAAGUUCUGAUAUAAUUUCGUGAUAGACUGAAUUUGUUAGAACCCAGAUGGUGCAAGUAGUCCCAAGUGAAGAUCCCAGUCUUGUGCAAAUCAUCAAACAGUAUCCUGUGGUCCAAAAGAGUCGCUAUAGACGAGACUUGCAGACAAGAACAAAUUAAUAGUUUCUGAGAGAUAGAGAUGGCACAGCUAACUAUUUUUUGCAUGAGGCAUACUAUUGUCCGAAGUAGAUAAAUCUGCCAUGAAAUCUAUUCUACAAAUAAUAUGAGCCUCACCAGACUCCAUAGUUUCCUAUUGAUUCAGCUGACAUUAUUCCAACAUGUCGGCACCCAAAAAUAGCCUAGGAUAAUUUCAAGGGUGAAUAUUAAGCAAGCAAUAAAUACUCGUCACAAAAUAUGCAAAUAUUCUAAAGGUGUAUUGUUCAAGUUUUUUUACAUAGUUUUAAAUAGCACGCUAUGCCUCUUAGUGGCAGGCCUCUUCUAAACGAUAUAGUGUGCUAUUUAAAAUGUUUGUUCAUUUGUUUGAAUCAAAGUCACUUAGCUCAGGACGUCUUCUAUACGGUAUAGCGUGCUAUAGCUCGCUAUUUAAGACCAUCGUUUUGUAGGACAAGUAAAUAGUCCAGGGUUAACAAAUAGUUCUAAACUUGCUAUGGCAGCGUACGCCCCCACCAACUUAAAAACACAGCUUUCCAACUUCAAAUGCUGACAAGGAAUGCACAAAAUACACUGAAAUUUUACCUUCUUGACAGCUAUUGAUCUGAUCUUAUUGUCAGCUGCCGGACUGUAGACUCUAAGAAACUCGGCUGAGAGAUGGAAUGUACUGCCGUCUGCAAAUUCAACCUCUACCUGAGAACAACCACAAACAUAGUUCAACUCACCAAUAUGAGAUGGAAUUUUUGCAGCAAGUUAGAAUUUUAGAGAAAUAACUUCCUUGUAAUUUUACAGCCAACUUUAUGUGCUAAUGGUUAUCGCAUUCAGACAAUGUGAGUCUUUUUCUGCAACAACUUGUUGUGUGUAAGUAUGUUUAAGUCAUGACAGAUGCCUGCUGUUCUAAGGUUGUAGAAAAAAAGUAAGAUUCAACAUCAAGAUCCACUAGUGCUAGGUUACAUUCCAAAUUCAUCGCCAGAUAAUUAUAUCAAUUGAUCUGUGAAGCAGCCGAGUAGCAGAAAGUAGGUACUAUUUACUAGCAAUAGCCAGCCAAUGGAGAUAACUGAAUGAAUUUGUAAAUUCUGGAUAAGCUCAUUCAAAUGGAUAUGGUACUAAAAGUACUGUACGACUGGUCAGGAAUGGAUAACCAGCAAGGGCCAGGCUCUAGAGAUCGCUUUCCCCUACCACAGAUUAGGAGCUCGGCAUGGACCGCGCCGCAGGAUUUCACGUCAAUUUCAGUGCCCACAAGUUACACUUCUUGUCACAUACUCACAUUACAAUCACACGGAACGUCUUUUUUCCUAUGCUGCCAUGAAUGCGUGAACUCGGCAUUUCAGCUAAAACUAGAAGCACUGAACGCUAGACGACUAGACCACAAUAAUCAGAACAGUCACCACCAACCAACAGAAGCACUAAGACAAUAUCCUUAACUUUUUUUUAGAAAGGGGGAGGACCCCGCCUCUGCAUCUGGACGAUGCAUACGGCCACUUUAUUAAUUAUUCUCACAAGACCUUACAAAGUCAUACAACAGUAAGACUAAAGCCACCGUCUAAGCAUCAACUGUCGCUACUCCUAUCCAAUUGAUGAAGGGGCGCUGAUAGUCUGGGCCUAAUACCAAGCAGACAUCGCAGCCAAACCUAAACAUCUAAGACCUGAGGUCCCAACCAGGACGCUUGCCGGGUAUGGGGCACCUACCAGUCCGGCGCACACCUCAACCAGGACGCCUGCCGGGUAUGAGGCCGCCGCAGCCACCUGCCACCAAUCCAUUUUCAGUGUUGUACUGCUGCACCACCUUGCCCGGCCUCUCUGCCAUCGACGCCACCACGACGCCUGAUAACGUCACCCUCCUGCGCGCAGUGGCGGUGCCAGAAGUUCAAUGUUGUGUAGUCAAUUUGAAAUUGUGUAGUCAGAUAUAUGAAUUCCUAUUUAUUUUUUGCAAGAUGUAUACAUGUAUACAUUGAUUUUAUCAAAAAGCUGGGUAGUCAAUUGACUACCCAGCUUACAUGUGGCUUCGCCACUGCCUGCGCGAGUCCCUCGCCACACAUCGGGCGCCGAGUCUCCACUGCGCCACGCCGCCGAGAAACGCCACCAUUAAUCUGUAGGAUGAAUCACCGCUCCACCAAUUAUUCCGUCCACUGGUCCCUCGAGCCCGUGUACACCUCCAAGCAUGACGCCACAAGAGGGAAACGACACAAUAAUGCCAACGUCAUCCGAUCUACUGAUCUAGGGUUUCCCCCGGAGGUAGCAGAUAGUGGCCUGGAACUUCUCAGCAGCGAUGCUUUCAACAAGGGAACGACACCGAAUAGUGCCGCCAUCGCCGGCCUCGGCAGCAGCUGCGAGCAGGUCUUCACCCAGAUCUGUUCCAAUGGCCUCCAUCAAGCGUCUUGUGCACGGAUCGUCCACCACCGUGACCGCUGCGUCGCCCGUCGCGAGUCCACAGCCGCCGACACAUCCUCCGCCGUCCGAGGCCGCCGCCCCGGGAUCCAGCCCUCGCUGGCCGCCGGAACAAAGCCACCGAGCCCCAUCGAGGGCGGCCAACGGGGGCGAAGAAGCUAGAUCCGGCCAAGCCCGGCCAGGAUCCGGCCUCUCCCCGCGCUGAAGCCACUCCCGCGGCCCUGCAUCUCGCCCGCGCCCGAGGCGACGCAGGCAGCGCAUGCGCGCGCAACGCCGUGAAGAGGGGAAACGCCCCGCCGCCACCUUCCCUGGGGCGCACGCGGACUUCGCCUGCGGCCCCUCCAGCGGCGGCGAAGCGAGGAAGGGGGCGAGGGGGACCUGGCGGCGGCGGCGCUAGGGUUCCCCCGUGUCGCCCGGGGGCGACGCAGGGGCGAGGGGGCGUGGGUUCCUAAUAGUUUAUAUUGUUUCCAGUUAGACAAUAUCCUUAAUAACCAACAGGAGUACUAAAUUACGGAUUAAACAAGAACGUCUCAUGUGAGUUGAUAAAUUUCUUUAACUAGAAGAUGCCCCGCGCGUUGCUGCGGGACCAUUUGCUACAACUAUAUUGUCUUAUAAAGAAACAAAAAUAUAUAAUGUAAAGUCAACGACCUAUGUAAUCUAGCGUGAUGUUCACAAAGAUUAAAUGAAGCCUUAGAACAUGUCGUAAAUAGAAUAUUGGUGAUAAGAACACAAUACGUAUGCGAAAUGAACUCCAUAACCAAUGACUGAAUCGGAAAGCACCUGCAAAUGAGCCACUAAAUGUCCUUCUCUCUAAAUUCCUGAAGCCAAGCUUUUGAAUGACAAAAGUGAAGCACUGAAAUUAGUACUGGUCUCAAUAUCUGAAGGAGGAAAAAAGUGAUAACAAUGGGCAUGGUUUUCUGAUCGUCCCAACUCGCGAUGUUUAGGUACAUCAAAACUAAAGGAUCACAAAAAUUAAGGUGCAUCUACUAAGUAAUAAUGAUCUAAGUGACAUUAUCAAGAAUAUGCUACAGCAAUGAAUGUGCAGCAAGCGGAUGGGUCUGUCACCAUUUCUCUGCUGAUCUGUACGCGAUACCAGUAUGUCCACCCUGUGUAGAAGACAGUAAAAUGAAAUUGUGAAAACAAAAUAGUUGCCUCACAUAUAGCCUACCUAAAUUCAUCCAAGCCUAUCUUCUUGAUUGAGUGACAAUUAUGACUUACUUGAAUAGAAGGGAUAAUGAGAUUUCGUCCUGGGUUGUAGUAGAUGAUUUGUUCCAACCAAUGCAUUGCAUGGAAUGAAGGGAAUCAUAUGAAUGUGAUUUGUAACGUACUGAAACAAAUAUAGGAUGCAUGUCAUGCGUUCAUCAAGUUCAGAUGAUAAAUUUUACAAAUGGGAUGAUUAUCUACUAACUCAAGCGGUAAGAAACCUAUGCAGGAAGAAAGCACAAAUAACCAUCGCAAUCUGCAACAAAUCAUCGAGCAACCUGUGGCCAAAUCUUAGAAAAUAAGAAAUCAGAUAAAAGAUUGGAUUAGACAAAGAAAAGAGGGCUAGAGAGGGACCCAAUCAAUCAGCAUGUACAUGUUGGGAAGUGUAAUCAAAGAUCUGAGUCCAGUUGUGGUGGAAGACGAUUGUCUUCUUUCAGAAAAUAAGAUUCAUGUGUGCACUCCAGGCUGAUAUUUAAAGGAUAAGCGAGCGGUUCAGUUACUUCCUCCGCAUUUGUGUCAUUGUGUGGUGCGGCCGUUCGUUUCUGGCACAUUUGCAGGAAAGGAGAUUGUGGGGAAGAGGAGCCGAUUAGGCAGAGUCAACAGCCGAACAGGCACAUGCAAGAUAGUAGAAGGCAGGAAUCCAACGUCGUGCCAUAGUGGGCAUUUAUUUUGGCAUGUAUUAGCAGAUGGGCCAAUAAGCUGGCCUACUACGAGUUUGUACAUGCAGCAGACCAUGAGGCAUACGGUGGCCUGGGGUCGCGGCGAGGUGGCGUCAGUGGCGGAGGAGCAUCGAUUCCUAUGUGCGCUAUUGGCGGUUGUGCGGCCAGGGGAUAGGCGACCCUGUGUGCAAUAGGUUGUGACCGCCAUGGCGGCGCGGACGGCCCAGUGCAGGAGCGAUCCAGCUUUUUGAUGGGUCGUGGUGAAUGGAGGACUCUCCUCUUAUUUCUCUCGUCAGUUACGGAAUAGGAAGAGGAACAAAUGCGUCUUACAUGGAAAUUAAACAGCACCAUUAGUUGAAAUAAAAACUAAAAUAUUAUUGAUGUGGCUGAGCUGUGAGAUAGUUGUGAACUUGUGAUUGGUUGAUAUUUGAUGACAUGGCGUGCUGAGUUGGACCACUUGCAUGUCAAAAGAAUACCUUGUAGUGGGGAGCAACUUCUUAAGAAUGUAAGAUGAAUGUUUCACCUUAUGGUACUGCAAGCAGGGAUGUCGCCAUGAGGCUCCACAAUAAUGGAAAAAAAAAAAGGAGACAAAUUCUAUAAUCAAUCAGCACAUGUUGAUUAAUUCAAUGCAAGUAAUUUUAGAGUAAAUUACACUUGCGGUCACAAAACUUGUCGGGCAUAUGAAGUUGCCACUAGCCUUGGAACUUGGUGGAGCAUGUCGGUGAGUUCACAAAUAUGCGACGUCAACCAAGAAUGCAGUUUGACGUGCUAACAUGGCCUUCCUUCCUCUCUUUUUUUGGCAAAAAAAGGAAGCACCUAACUGUACAAACACCCCAAAUAGUAAUAAUAAUUUAACAAAAACAAUUUCGAAUCUAGCAAUGAGAUUGGUGUACAAGUUUUACUUUCUCUUUGUGAAAAUAGGGGAGUGGGUUGUGUCUUCGUCGUGCAGUUGGUGCUUAAUUUGGAAGCAACGACGAUCAUUUCAUUAUUCCAUUUGCUCAGGAGGAUGUCUAGGUGUGUGAUCAACCCAACGUCUUCUUCUUUUCCAGCCCGUCGAUCCUUCAAAACCGACAUCAUGUCGUUACUGACACUUCCCCACAGAGAUCGGUGACCUUUUGACUGCCUGCACGGAUACUUGUUCCGGAGACGGCAUAGCAUUCCACUGGGAAAACUUUGAUGUGCCAUUGAUAAGUGCGGGAUGAAGAGGAUGGAGGACACCCCCAGGGACUAGAUUGUAUUUACCUUUAUUACAUGGGUUGUCUUGUAAUGUUGGUGUUAGUUAAUUUUGAGCUGUCAUUCUUUUGGAAGAAAAAAAGUUAAACAUGACGACCAACUAGAGCAUACCAUCAACUUUGGACGCACAAUAAACAAAAGUGAAGCCUACCGUCCUUUGCUCAAAUACUGUACGUACGCGUGCCAACCAUGUACUGAAGGUUCACGGACGCAGUAUGUGUCUAUGAAUUGGUGUCCGUCGCCACAGCGGUGCCUCCUGCAUGACUGGUUGGCCAAAUGUGCAUGAGCUACGUGUGAUAUCCAAGCAAGUUGCAUGCUCGGGACAUAUAAAUGGGGCCAACAUCCAGCUCUGAUCAAUCAUCUGUAUCACUGUAUGAUUAGACAAGAUUGUUGUCAGAGCCAAGUGACAUGUAUCUUAACCGUUUUGGGUGUACCUUACUACUGGUCUCUGUGAAGUGAGAUACUGGAGUAAACCAAGUGCAAAUUUUGUCAAUCCCAAGCAAGCUCUUGCAAGAAGGAGCAACGACACCGUGGCUGAGCUGGUGCUGUCAAAUAUCGGCAAGCUGAUGGCUGAGCUGGGAUCGGUGCUGCCAUGGGAGAUCAAAGCGGCAUGCAUGGCCGUGGAGGUGGGCACAACUAAGAUCCUUGAUCUGAUCAAGGGGCGUAGGUCGUUCCCCCUGUACCGGUUUAGUCAUGAGGCGACCAUCUUGCUGUGAGCUCCUGACCAGUGAGAUGUGCAUGGCAUGCAGGGAUGAAUGAUGCAAGGUGUUCAUGGGCAUAUGCCAUGGCAAGCUCAUUGACUCCAUGGCCGGCGUAGUGCCCGAGGCUACUUUCAAGGUGGCAUUGUUUACAUGAUCAGAGGUACAUGUAGGAUGCUGCCAUGAUGAUCUUUCCCUCACCUCCUGUUCCACCGUAAAUAUAAAGUAGAAAAGAUUUCAUGCAGAAAUCAUAAUGAACAGGAAAAUAGUUCUACCGACAGAACUCAAGAAAGACAUACAAUCCCAUCCAGCACAUGUGUAUGAACUCAGUGUAAAGAAUAUUAUCAUAUUCUAAAUGGAAACACAGUUUCUGACACUAUGUAAUAAGUUAUCUGAAUUAAGAGAUUUUGUGUGCACAUGUAGAAGCUCCAUCCAUCCACAUGGCAGGCAAACCCUAUUUGAGUUCCGUCGUACCUACAUGCUUAAGACACACAAAUACUUACCAUCAUUUUCUUCUCUGAGGAUCCCGACUAAGACCGUGUUUCCUCAAAGUUUUGAUAUAAUUUCGUGACAGACUGAAUUUGUUAGAACCCAGAUGGUGCAAGUAAUCCCAAGUGAAGAUCCCAGUCUUGUGCAAAU
rnacentral:lncRNA from 1 species